rnacentral:tRNA from 1 species
AUUUAAAUAAUAUAUAAAUAAAGUAUAUUUAAUUUCCAAUUAAAAAGACUAAAAAAUUAGUUUAAAUA